rnacentral:ncRNA from 1 species
UAAAGGUACUUGCGUCCCGUCCCAAGGCAGAAUGUGGUAAAACCCGUCGCAGCAAAGGAGGGCGCCUUCCAGAGAUCCUGGGAGAGGUGAAAUUCCUAUGA